AGGGCUGCAAACCCGCGAGGGGGAGGUAAUUUCACAAAACGCAUCGUAGUCCGGAUCGGAGUCUGCAACUCGACUCCGUGAAGUCGGAAUCGCUAGUAAUCGCGAAUCAGAAUGUCGCGGUGAAUACGUUCCCGGGCCUUGUACACACCGCCCGUCACACCAUGGGAGUGGAUUGCACCAGAAGUGGUUAGUCUAACCUUCGG
rnacentral:rRNA from 1 species